rnacentral:snoRNA from 1 species
GAGAAGUGAUGACACAGAGACAGUUGGGUGUGUUGGAUGGGGUGUGUGUGAGCAGGGGGGUGGGGGCUGUGUGAGGUGUGUGGGGGCUCCCCUGGGGGCACUGAUGGCAGUGCUGAGCCAGGAGUGCAUCUGAGGCGUGUUGGGCACCUCGGGGCCCCUCUGCAACACUGCCGGUGAUUAAAGCCCCAAAAAAGCCCACCAGGAGAGCCCCAGGCAGCCCAAGUGUCUCCAGGGUCACCAGAUCCUGUGCUCUGAUCUCA